UAGGAACUUGUAUGUUUGCUUGUGUAUGUUUGGGAAUGUUGUAGAAUAGGUUUAUGCAUGUUUGGAUGAGAUUGGAGGCACAAAUGCAUAAGGGAGCUGAGUUUCUGCCAUUCUGGGAGAAACCAGGUUCGGCAGCCGAAGGAACUUUCGGCCGCCGAACGUGCUUGUGGAGGCAGCCUUCGGCUGCCGAAGCUUGCCCCCGAAAGGAGACUUUCGUCUCUGUCUGGGACUUUCGGCCGCCGAAAGUGCCGCCGAACAUGCAUGAGUUUCACCUCUGUC
rnacentral:lncRNA from 1 species